rnacentral:rRNA from 1 species
CCUACGGGAGGCAGCAGUGAGGAAUAUUGGUCAAUGGACGAGAGUCUGAACCAGCCAAGUAGCGUGAAGGAUGACUGCCCUAUGGGUUGUAAACUUCUUUUAUAUGGGAAUAAAAUGUUCCACGUGUGGGAUUUUGUAUGUACCAUAUGAAUAAGGAUUGGCUAACUCCGUGCCAGCAGCCGCGGUUAUACGGAGGAUCCGAGCGGUAUCCGGAUUUAUUGGGGUUAAAGGGGGCGUAGGUGGAUUGAUAAGUCAGUUGUGAAAGUUUGCGGCUCAACCGUAAAAUUGCAGUUGAAACUGGCAGUCUUGAGUACAGUAGAGGUGGGCGGAAUUCGUGGUGUAGCGGUGAAAUGCUUAGAUAUCACGAAGAACUCCGAUUGCGAAGGCAGUUCACUGGACUGCAACUGACACUGAGGCUCGAAAGUGUGGGUAUCAAACAGGAUUAGAUACCCUUGUAGUC